UCUCUUUCUCUCUCUCCCUUUCUUUAUCGCUGUCUUUCUCUCUCUUUCAAGCAUUACUCAUUCUUCAUGCUCUUCUAUUCGCAUAUGCUUUCUCUGUAAGCUUUUUCUCGCUCUCCCCCUCAUUUCUCAUCGCCGGUUCGGUCAUCCUCAUCGGAAUCCCCCCUCGUUUCUCGUCGGAAAACCCGUAUUCUCACCACCGCCGAUCCGAAUCCGCUCCCCAAUUGACCUAUAUAUUAUAUAUUUAUAUCUAUAUAGAGAGAGAGAGAGAAAAAUCUUUUUUUUUUUUUGGGUUAUUAAGAAUUUGAUUGAUUGCUUUGAUUUUUGUAAUUUUAUCUAUGGAGGAUGGUAUGAGCAGCGAUGAGGACUAUUACUCCGAUCGGGACUCGCUUGAUGGCCUCGAGAACGAGGACUCUGAGUUCCACUGUACCCCUCCAAAGGGUCCCACUACGAAGGUAAUUACAAAAGAAUCUCUUUUGUCUGCUCAGAGGGAGGAUUUGCGGAGAGUAAUGGACUUGCUAUCCCUUAGAGAGCACCAUGCCCGGACUUUACUAAUUUAUUACCGCUGGGAUGUUGAAAGGUUGUUUGCGGUGCUUGUAGAAAAAGGGAAAGCUUUCUUAUUUGAUCAAGCAGGUGUUACGGUGGUGGAGCAUGAAGGUCUUGAGUCACCGCUUGGUUCUACAAUAACGUGUGAUAUCUGCAUGGACGAUGUACCUAGUGUUGAGGCAACAAGAGAGGACUGUGGCCAUUGCUUUUGUAACAACUGUUGGACAGAGCAUUUUAUGGUGAAGAUAAAUGAGGGUCAAAGUAGGCGCAUUAGGUGCAUGGCACACAAAUGCAAUGCUAUUUGUGAUGAAGCUGUUGUUAGAAAUCUAGUCAGUAAAAGGCAUCCUGAUAUGGCAGAAAAAUUUGAGCGUUUUCUCCUUGAAUCAUACAUAGAGGAUAACAAGAGGGUUAAAUGGUGCCCAAGUACUCCACAUUGUGGGAAUGCAAUACGCAUUGAGGAUGACGAAUUCUGCGAGGUAGAAUGUUCAUGUGGUAUGCAGUUUUGUUUCAGUUGCUUAUCAGAAGCACACUCACCAUGUUCAUGUUUGAUGUGGGAGCUUUGGGCCAAGAAGUGCCGAGAUGAAUCUGAAACAGUUAAUUGGAUAACAGCUCAUACAAAACCGUGUCCAAAGUGUCACAAACCUGUGGAGAAGAACGGUGGUUGCAACCUUGUGAGCUGUAUCUGUGGGCAAGCAUUUUGUUGGCUGUGUGGUGGGGCCACUGGCCGAGACCAUACUUGGUCAAGCAUAUCUGGUCACAGUUGUGGUCGCUACAAAGCGGAACGAGAGAAAAAAUCUGAACGUGCAAAGCGGGAUCACUAUCGGUAUAUGCACUAUUAUAAUCGUUAUAGAGCUCACACAGAUUCUUUCAAGCAGGAAAGCAAAUUGAAAGAGAUCAUACAAGAAAGGGUGUCAAUUACAGAAGAGAGGGAUUCGAGGCUCAGAGAUUUCAGCUGGGUAAAUAACGGGCUCCUCAGACUUUUCAGAUCCAGGCGAGUUCUUUCAUAUUCAUACCCAUUUGCAUUUUAUAUGUUUGGAGAUGAGCUGUUUAAUGAUGAGAUGACGAAGGAAGAAAGGGAAAUAAAACAGCACUUAUUUGAGGACCAGCAGCAGCAGCUUGAGGGAAAUGUUGAGAAACUUUCAAAGUUUCUGGAGGAGCCCUUUGAUCAAUAUAGUGAGGAUAAAGUGAUGGAGAUAAGGAUGCAAGUUAUCAAUCUGUCAGUGAUCACAGAUACUCUCUGUCAGAAAGUGUAUGAAUGCAUUGAAAAUGAUUUAUUGGGUUCUCUCCAAUAUGGUAAUCACAAUAUUGCUCCUUACAAGUCAAAAGGCAUAGAGAAGGCAUCAGAACUUACUGCUUGCUGGAAAGCCAAUAAUAGUGACAAAUAUCCACCUUCAGAUUGUGGCGCAAGUGAAUUGGAUCGACCUUCAGGCUCUGGGAGUUCAGAUGAGAGUGGAUGUUCUUCCAGGAAGCGUGCUAGAAAGGAUUCUCCUGGAGGUGGCCUUUUUGAUCUUAACUUGCCAGCAGAGGUCAUUGACAGAAACUGAAUUUGAAAGUUGCACCCUUCAUAUAAAUACAAUAGGUGUACAGCUCUGACAUAAGACCCAUGUUUUCUUUUACGGAUUGAUCAAUCUGGACCGUAGCACCCAAGAACUCAACCUUUUCCCUUUUUUUUUCUUCCUUUUCUUUUUCUCCCCUCCAUUCUUCUCUCUUUUUUAGCCUGGGUUUUAUGAAUCUAUUUUGUUAUGAUAUUCUCGAAGAGAAAUUUAGAGAUUUAGUGCAUCUUUCCUUUACUCUUCGAAAAUACAACAUUGUAUAUAGCCUUCGAUUGGGCAAUAGAUAUGUAAAUUUUCUCCUGAGACUUGAGGAACCCUCUUAGAAACCUUCUGAGAUAUUUUCAUAUUUUUCGAUGCUGGAAGUAAAGGUAUAGUGAUAGGAGUUUUAGCCAACUGAGGCAGAUGAGGUUAUGUGUAUUCUCAGAGUUUAAUCCUCUGUUUCUCGUCUGUUCAACACCUGAUAUGUAAUUGAAAUCUCUUUGAGUUUGAAAACAAUGAUUUCUCAGCAAUAUUGUUCAUUUCCAUUCAGGAGCAUGCAUAUAUAAAUCUAAGUAAUUCAAUUAUAAAAAAA